rnacentral:rRNA from 1 species
UCAGGACGAACGCUGGCGGCGUGCUUCAUACAUGCAAGUCGAACGAGAAAUCAACUUCGGUUGGUGGAAAGUGGCGGACGGGUGAGUAAUAUGUAGAGAAUCUGCCCUAGAGAUGGGGACAACAGUUGGAAACGACUGCUAAUACCCAAUAUGAGCGUAGCUGAGAUGCUAUUCUUGAAAACUCCGGUGCUCUGGGAUGAGUCUGCAUCUGAUUAGCUAGUUGGCGGUGUAAUGGACCACCAAGGCGACGAUCAGUAGCUGGUUUGAGAGGAUGAUCAGCCACAAUGGGACUGAGACACGGUCCAUACUCCUACGGGAGGCAGCAGUAGGGAAUUUUUGCGCAAUGGGCGAAAGCCUGACGCAAGCAACGCCGCGUGAUUGAUGAAGCCCUUCGGGGUGUAAAGAUCUGUCAGUGGGGACGAAACUUGACGGUACCCACAGAGGAAGCACCGGCUAACUCCGUGCCAGCAGCCGC